rfam:Triticum urartu cultivar G1812 contig1212954, whole genome shotgun sequence.
GAGAGCACAGUACGAUGAAAGUUGUAAGCUGUGUUCGAGGGGGGGGGGGAGUUAUUGUCUAUCAUUGGUCUCUAUGGUAGAACCCAUCGGGGAGGCCUGAGAGGUGGUGGUUUACCCUGU